rnacentral:lncRNA from 1 species
GUGCCCUUCUUUUCUUCACACGAGAAAUAUUUCUGCAUGAAUAUUUCUCACACCCAGAAGAAGAUUGAUGCCCACUUUCUGAUCCCUUUUGGAUUUGGAUAAGGUUGGUUUAAAAUUUGAGUUCAAAAGGUUUGAAUUUGAAUGAGAACUUAGAGUCCAAAUCUUGUUGGACUCUUUCCAUAAUUGCCGACCUCCCUUCCCAUGCGAGAAAAUUUUUUUUGCAUGAUGUUUUUCCAUGCCAAUCUGAUGUUUCUCACCUCUCUUCUGCACAACCUAGGGAUAGGAUAGGAUUGGUUGGGUUUUGAAUUCAAAUAGGUUUGAAUUUAAACUAAACUACCAAGUGUUUAUCCUAUCCUAUCUGAUCUCCAUGCCAGCCUUAAAUCCUCUCCAUUUUUGUGCGACAAAAUGAGAGGCUUUUACCAUGGGGUUCUAGGGUUUCGGCUCUAGUUUUUUUUGUGAGAAGAAAAACCAAGAGAGUCUUGUUUUAUUCUUC